CCCUUAUGAUAUGGAAAUGUAAUUUUGUUAUAAUCAGGUAAUAUACUUAAAUCUGGCCAUGUUUCUGAGGUAGGAGAACCUAAAUAUUUUAAAACUAUUGCUAACUGCUCAAUAUCUGUCUCUCCCUGAAAUAAUGGUGAUCUGUUAUAUAAUUCACCAAAAAUGCAUCCAAUAGACCACAUAUCAAUUGCUGAUGUAUAAUAUCGUGCACCAUAUAAUAAUUCAGGUGCUCUAUACCAUCUAGUGGCAAUUUGGUGAGAAUAUGGUUUUGUUACAUUCUUCCACAAUAAUCUUCCUAAACCAAAAUCAGCAAUUUUCAAAAUACCUUUUUCAUUUAUUAGUAAAUUAGCAGGUUUUAAAUCCUAAAAAUAGUAUUUUAAUACUCUCACUAUAAUUCAAUAGAAUUUUAAAGGUAAAAAGUAAAUAAACCAAAAAUUCAAAAUAUAUAACAUUCUGUGUAUAAAUUUAAUAUGUAUGUAAUUAAAGUUCUUCAGGUAUA